rnacentral:rRNA from 1 species
UUAGAUUUUGAUUCCUGGCUCAGGACGAACGCUGGCGGCGUGCUUAACACAUGCAUUGUCGAGCGAUGAAGUUUUCCUUCGGGGAAACGGGUUAGCGGCGGACGGGUGAGUAACACGUGGGUAACUUGCCUCAUAGAGGGGAAUAGCCUUUCGAAAGGAAGAUUAAUACCGCAUAAGAUUGUAAUGCCGCAUGGCAUAGCAAUUAAAGGAGCAAUCCGCUAUGAGAUGGACCCGCGUCGCAUUAGCUAGUCGGUGAGGUAACGGCCCACCAAGGCGACGAUCAGUAGCCGAUCUGAGAGGAUGACCGGCCACAUUGGAACUGAGAGACGGUCCAAACUCCUACGGGAGGCAGCAGUGGGGAAUAUUGGGCAAUGGGCGCAAGCCUGACCCAGCAACGCCGCGUGAGGGAAGAAGGUUUUCGGAUUGUAAACCUCUGUCCUAAGGGAAGAAAGGAAUGACGGUACCUUAGGAGGAAGCCCCGGCUAACUACGUGCCAGCAGCCGCGGUAAUACGUAGGGGGCGAGCGUUGUCCGGAAUGACUGGGCGUAAAGGGCGUGUAGGCGGCCUGUUAAGUUAGGAGUGAAAGUCCAGCUUUCAAGGUUGGAAUUGCUUUUAAUACUGAUGGGCUUGAGUGCAGAAGAGGUAAGUGGAAUUCCCAGUGUAGCGGUGAAAUGCGUAGAGAUUGGGAGGAACACCAGUGGCGAAGGCGACUUACUGGGCUGUAACUGACGCUGAGGCGCGAAAGCGUGGGGAGCGAACAGGAUUAGAUACCCUGGUAGUCCACGCCGUAAACGAUGAGUGCUAAGUGUUAGGGGGUUUCCGCCCCUUAGUGCUGGAGUUAACGCAUUAAG